rnacentral:rRNA from 1 species
AUUGAACGCUGGCGGCAUGCUUUACACAUGCAAGUCGCACGAGUGGCGAACGGGUGAGUAACGCAUCGGAACGUACCUACUGAUGGGGGAUAACUGUCCGAAAGGACAGCUAAUACCCCAUACUAUUCGAUCGGCCGAUGUCGGAUUAGCUGGUUGGCGGGGUAAAGGCCCACCAAGGCGACGCGCAGUAGCGGGUCUGAGAGGAUGAUACGCGACAUUGGAACGGGGACACGGUCCAGACUACUACGGGAGGGAGCAGUGGGGAAUUUGGGACAAUGGGCGCAAGCCUGAUCCAGCCAUGCGGCGUGUCUGAAGAAGGCCUUCGGGGUGUAAAGGACGUUUGUCAGGGAAGCGGUACCUGAAGAAUAAGCACCGGCUAACUACGUGCCAGCAGCGGCGGUAAUAC